CACGGCAUCACCCGCCCAGCACGCCGCCUUCCUCCAGCCAAUCGUCGCGUGGGGGGGAAGCUGGAGCACCGAAACUUCCAGGCACGCGAACGGCGGCGGCCAACGGCCGGAGCUUCUCGUUGUCAGCGUACGACAGAGGACCUGAACCAGCAGCCUCCGGGUCAGGGGAGCGGGGAACCUACGAUACCACGACCACGCCGUCGGCCUCAUCACCCCGUCAACAUCCUCGCCGUCCCUCCCGGCGCAUACUCUUCUCUGAAUCUCCAGUAACUAAAGAAGUCAGGAAAUCAGUGUCAAUGAUGUGAUGUGGCAACCUGUUGUGAACCCUAUCAAAAGUUGGCCAGGAAUUUUGAACUUUUGAAGUCAAAGCAAAAAGUCUCCAUUUCCUCCUGCCUCCAAACAACCAACCAACAUGCCAACUACUACUGGAGUUCGACGGCUGAUCUUACAAAGAAUUGACCUAAGAUAAUAGUCUUGGUUCUGGUAAGAUCAAGGUAAUUUGAUUUACCUUUUCCCUUGUCAAUUCAUUCUUAGUGGUAAAUACUGUCAAAUGUCGCUCAGUACCUUUGAAGUAUGAGCUAAGGUGACAGAAAAGUUGGUUUAUUAUUUGUAUUUUUGCAUGAAAAAAUAUUACUUA